UGGGGAAUAUUGCACAAUGGGCGAAAGCCUGAUGCAGCGACGCCGCGUGAGGGAUGACGGCCUUCGGGUUGUAAACCUCUUUCAGCAGGGACGAAGCGCAAGUGACGGUACCUGCAGAAGAAGCACCGGCUAACUACGUGCCAGCAGCCGCGGUAAUACGUAGGGUGCAAGCGUUGUCCGGAAUUACUGGGCGUAAAGAGUUCGUAGGCGGUUUGUAGCGUCGUUUGUGAAAACCAGCAGCUCAACGGCUGGCUUGCAGGCGAUACGGGCAGACUUGAGUACUGCAGGGGAGACUGGAAUUCCUGUGUAGCGGUGAAAUGCGCAGAUAUCAGGAGGAACACCGGUGGCGAAGGCGGGUCUCUGGGCAGUAACUGACGCUGAGGAACGAAAGCGUGGGUAGCGAACAGG
rnacentral:rRNA from 1 species